rnacentral:lncRNA from 1 species
AGUGCUCGGGUCCCACCGCCCUGAGGCUCGCGCUCGAGCGGGUCAGUCGGUCGGCGGGGCCUGCGCGGGGCCCGGGCCCAUGGCGGCGUCGGCGGCUCUGUCUGCAGCGGCGGCUGCGGCGGCCCUGUCUGGCCUGGCGGUGCGGCUGUCGCGCUCAGCUGCGGCCCGAGGCUCGUACGGCGCCUUCUGCAAGGGGCUCACGCGCACGCUGCUCACCUUCUUCGACCUGGCCUGGCGGCUGCGCAUGAACUUCCCCUACUUCUACAUCGUGGCCUCGGUGAUGCUUAACGUCCGCCUGCAGGUGCGGAUCGAGUGAGCGCCGGCGGCGGCGGCGGCGAAGGCCCGGCUGAAGGGGCGCCCGUGUCCCCGCCCGCCCCCGGCCGGGUCGCCGGCAUGAAGGAAAGCUGGGCCGCGGCGGGGGGCGGAGGCGGGGCGGCUCGGACCCCUGGACUCUAGACCUACGCCGCCAGGGCACGACGGCCCAGCCCUGGCCCCGGCUGCGGUCUCAGCCCGGGGGCCCUGGAUCGCGCAGAAACGCACUGAAUGGGCCCCUGCCAUCGGGCUCCAGAAACUACCUGGGCUCGGCCGACCUGUUGCCUCAUAUUGGCCAAAGAGGGGGAAACCAGAAGGAGGGAAUUCUGCUGCGGCGACUUGACUUUCCAGGCCCGGAGCAGAAAGGCAUUGGCAUUUGUAGGCGGUGACCCGCCCCUUCUCUGGCCUUGCCAAGAGUCACAUCCCUGCCCAGGGGCACCUCUGGCCCUGGAACUUGCCUGGGCAGAGGCAGCGUGAAGGGCCUGAACAAGAGGAGAAGAAGGGCCUUCCUAGUAGAGGCACAGCAUGGACAAAGGCUCACAGGGGUGGGGGUGCCCAGUGAUCGAGUCCUGGCUUGGGAAGGAAGAGAAACCAAAGACAGGAACCAAGUCUGAAACAGAGCCCCAAGAAGAAGCUCUUUUCCUGAGCUACCAGUGCCCCUUGGAGAGGCAGGGAAUUGGGCUGGAAGAAUGGUGGAAUGGAAUAGCAAAGAUGGAAGAUGACCCUGUCCUUUCUGGGUGAGGUCCAGAAGAAAUCCAGGGCUUGGAUGAGGGGUAGACCUGAGAGCCUUCUCCAAAUGGAACUCCCCAGUGGGAGCAGCUGUGGCCACCCUGAGAUGGGUCUACCUGUCUUCCUUCCAUUCCACCUCCAGAGAUUGAUUGGGACCUAAGAGACUGAGUCAGGAGAGGGCAAGAAAGCAGCUAAGUGGGAAGUUUCAGGGGCACUAGAGCAAAUACAUUGAGAAAUGGGAAAUACAAACAGCAUGCAAAAUCAC